rnacentral:rRNA from 1 species
AGUGAACGCUGGCGGUAGGCCUAACACAUGCAAGUCGAACGGCAGCACAGUAAGAGCUUGCUCUUACGGGUGGCGAGUGGCGGACGGGUGAGGAAUACAUCGGAAUCUACUUUUUCGUGGGGGAUAACGUAGGGAAACUUACGCUAAUACCGCAUACGACCUACGGGUGAAAGCAGGGGAUCUUCGGACCUUGCGCGAUUGAAUGAGCCGAUGUCGGAUUAGCUAGUUGGCGGGGUAAAGGCCCACCAAGGCGACGAUCCGUAGCUGGUCUGAGAGGAUGAACAGCCACACUGGAACUGAGAGACGGUCCAGACUCCGACGGGAGGCAGCAGUGGGGAAUAUUGGACAAUGGGCGCAAGCCUGAUCCAGCCAUACCGCGUGGGUGAAGAAGGCCUUCGGGUUGUAAAGCCCUUUUGUUGGGAAAGAAAAGCAGCAGGUUAAUACCCCGCUGUUCUGACGGUACCCAAAGAAUAAGCACCGGCUAACUUCGU